GAUGAACGCUGGCGGCGUGCCUAAUACAUGCAAGUCGAGCGAAUGGAUUAAGAGCUUGCUCUUAUGAAGUUAGCGGCGGACGGGUGAGUAACACGUGGGUAACCUGCCCAUAAGACUGGGAUAACUCCGGGAAACCGGGGCUAAUACCGGAUACCAUUUUGAACCGCAUGGUUCGAAAUUGAAAGGCGGCUUUGGCUGUCACUUAUGGAUGGACCCGCGUCGCAUUAGCUAGUUGGUGAGGUAACGGCUCACCAAGGCAACGAUGCGUAGCCGAGCUGAGAGGGUGAUCGGCCACACUGGGACUGAGACACGGCCCAGACUCCUACGGGAGGCAGCAGUAGGGAAUCUUCCGCAAUGGACGAAAGUCUGACGGGGCAACGCCGCGUGAGUGAUGAAGGCUUUCGGGUCGUAAAACUCUGUUGUUAGGGAAGAACAAGUGCUAGUUGAAUAAGCUGGCACCUUGACGGUACCUAACCAGAAAGCCACGGCUAACUACGUGCCAGCCGCCGCGGUAA
rnacentral:rRNA from 1 species